GUUAAUGUAGCUUAAUAAACCUAAAGCAAGGCACUGAAAAUGCCUAGAUGAGCCACAAGGCUCCAUAAACA
rnacentral:tRNA from 1 species